rnacentral:ribozyme from 1 species
ACCCCACAUUAUAGAUUGUAGAAUAUAGAUGGUAGAUAGAUAGAUAGAUAGAUAACUACGUCGGAUACUAUAUGUUCUAAUUUAUUUUAUUGUAUUUUUUU